GACGAACGCUGGCGGCGUGCCUAAUACAUGCAAGUCGAACGCAGUGGGGACGGGUGAGUAACACGUGGGUAACCUCCCAUCAGAGGGGAUAACACUUGGAAACAGGUGCUAAACCGAUACGGAGGGAUGGCCCGGCGGUGCAUAAGCUAGUUGGUGAGGUAACGGCUAACCAGGGCCACGAUGCAUAGCCGACCUGAGAGGGUGAUCGGCCACACUGGGACGGAGACACGGCCCAGACUCCUACGGGAGGCAGCAGUAGGGAAUCUUCGGCAAUGGACGAAAGUCUGACCGAGCAACGCCGCGUGAGUGAAGAAGGUUUUCGGAUCGUAAAACUCUGUUGUUAGAGAAGCGGUAUCUAACCAGAAAGCCACGGCUAACUACGUGCCAGCAGCCGCGGUAAUUC
rnacentral:rRNA from 1 species